UGUGUAGGCGGUUGUUUAAGUUUGGUGUGAAAUCUCCCGGCUCAACUGGGAGGGUGCGCCGAAUACUGAAUGACUAGAGUGCGGGAGAGGAGAGUGGAAUUCCUGGUGUAGCGGUGAAAUGCGUAGAUAUCAGGAGGAACACCGGCGGUGUAGACGGCUCUCUGGACCGUAACUGACGCUGAGACACGAAAGCGUGGGUAGCAAACAGGAUUAGAUACCCUGGUAGUCCACGCCCUAAACGAUGCAUAUUUGGUGUGGGCAGUUCAUUCUGUCCGUGCCGGAGCUAACGCGUUAAAUAUGCCGCCUGGGGAGUACAGUCGCAAGGCUGAA
rnacentral:rRNA from 1 species